AGCAGCCGCGGUAAUUCCAGCUCCAAUAGCGUAUAUUAAAGUUGUUGCAGUUAAAAAGCUCGUAGUUGAAUUUCGGGGUCGGUAGGUUGGUCAUGCCUCAGGUAUGCACUGGUCUCACUGAUUCCUCCUUCCUGAUGAGCCGUAAUGCCAUUAAUUUGGUGUUGCGAGGAAUCUGGACUGUUACUUUGAAAAAAUUAAGUGUUUAAAGCAAGCUAACGCUUGAAUACAUUAGCAUGGAAUAAUGGAAUAGGACGUUCGAUCCUAUUUUGUUGGUUUCUAGGAUUGACGUAAUGAUUAAUAGGGAUAGUUGGGGGCAUUAGUAUUUAAUUGUCAGAGGUGAAAUUCUUGGAUUUAUUGAAGACUAACUACUGCGAAAGCAUUUGCCAAGGAUGUUUUCAUUAAUCAAGAACGAAAGUUAGGGGAUCGAAGACGAUCAGAUACCGUCGUAGUCUUAACCAUAAACUAUGCCGACUAGGGAUCGGAUGAUGUUAAUUUUUAAUGACUCAUUCGGCGCCUUAAC
rnacentral:rRNA from 1 species